GAUCCAUCGGAAAGAAAUUAUAUAAUAACAACAAAAAAUAUUUUUUAUAUAUAAAUAAAAUGAUCAAAUACAUAAAAGAAACUAUCGAUAAUAUAUACAAAUAAACUCACACUGCGCAAAACGCAUGUCUUAUCCUAGUUUCUUAUUAUUUCUAGCUUCAACAAAUAAAAAUGCAAUUUUUAGCCAUUAAUUUGAAAAGUAGUAUCAAAUUUAAGAUAAAAAACUAGACUCUUUUUUAAAAAUAUAGACCAUGAAAAUAUCUUGUCUAAAAAUUAAAAUUUAAGCUUUAAAACCUAAAUUUUAACCGUUAAAAUGUUCUCUUACACAGAAUUCAUCGAGUUUAUUACUUCUGCUCGAUAAUUUGAUAAAGUUUGUCAUUAUGAUGAUUAUUUUAUCUAGGUCAAUUUUAGGUUACCAUUGAAAAUUUGAAACUCUACAUUCCCAUUCUAUUCAAAACAUAAAGGCUAAUUUGAAAAGCAGAGACGCGUCUACUUAUUAUUUUAGGAAAGUUUAGAUCUAUUUUGCCAUAAUUUAGAAUAUACUUUUUUUUUGGUUCUUUGAGUAAUUUAAAAAAUACUUUUGAGGAUACGAAUCAUAAAACCGUGUGGACACAUGCAUGUUAUGCAUAUUAAGAAGAAGCAUGUUAUGCAUAUUAAGAAGAAGUAUGAAUGAAACUCAGGGAAAAUAUGAUGAUUUUUUUAAUAGGAAGCCAAUUCUGAAAAAGGGAAAAUAAGAUGAUUCCAAGAAUAUCCCUAAUAAAAUUUGAAAGAUUGGUAAGGAAUUGGAAGAUGACAACUUGAUCCAGCGAAGACCAGAUUAAAUAUAUUAAAAUGUAAGUUGAUCAACUUCUGUAAAUUACUUUUGAUUCAAAGUACACUUAUAGAGAGCUGAGCUCUGUUGUCCCUUCACUGUCUUCUAACUUCUUUUGGACAAUAUAAUAAUUAUUCUGGUUCACAGUGUUAAAUGUAUCCGCUUAUUGUAGCCCAUUGAUUGGGAUAAUGUUUUUCCCUCGUAAUUUUUAUUUCACGAAUCCCCUAUAUUAUUCUAUUGUAUAGUAUAGUAUAGUUAUUUUAUCCAAAAAGAGUAAACCAUUUCUCAAAAGGAGGUAAUUUAAAGUAUAGUAGUAACUAAGAAAAAGACAGCAACCGUAACUGGUGGAGAGAAAGGCAUUGGAAGUUUCUAUUUUACGAACAUAACUUGUUAUAUUAUUAUAUUGAUAUCACACAUCACGAUAAAUAAAAACAUAACAAAAUCGGUGGAUAAAUAUUGAAAACGAGUUUGACUUAGGAUAAGAAUAUAGUACUACUAUUACACACUGCAAUACAGCUAUACAAGUUAUAAACCACACGUCUUUACCACUUGCGUUUACAUACGCUUGAUAUUAUUUUAUUAUGACAUGCUUAUGAUGAUAGUUAUAAAUUGACCAGAUUUAAUUAGCAGUUGGUCUAAAGCGCGCAUGAGCUGGUAAAUGGUAAUACUUCACACUUCUAUUACUUUGCUAUAUAGCACGCAUUUCAUUUGGCUACACUAACAAAUUUAGCAUUACUGGACGUAGUCCUUCGUAUCUGUUUUUGGCAAACAUAUCUUAUGAAAAUUUUAAUUUUCAAUAAUAAUGAGUUUUCUUGCUGAUGGGGAUUCCUCCCACUUAGCAUUUAUUAGGUUUAAUUGCGUGGCCAGAAAACAAUUGUUUAUAUUGUAUGUGUUAUGUGUUAUACUUUAGGAAAAACCAUUUGCAAUAUAUACUAAUAUAUGUGUCAUUAAUAGAGGUACAUGCUUUCUCCUAAACACAGUCUCACUGAAGUAAGGUCUACCACAUGAGAAGGCCUAGUUUUGUAUCUUCUAUUCUCAAUCAUAUAUUCAUGUUUUGGUAUGUAUCUCGUUUAGUAUAAUUUUAUAUUUAUCAAUAAUGCACGACGCUUCUAAGAUUUUUCAGAUGCAAUCGGUGUGGUUCUGUUUUUUAUUUACUGAAGUCAGCAACACUUACAAAUGCCACUUCUUCCCGUCGCAUCCGUUUUCAGGACGAUCUUCUUAGUUCCCAUCGCGUUAACACAGUCUCUUGUGGUUAUUUUUGUCACACUUACAAAGUAAAUAAAACCAGCACAAACAGAAUUGACUUGUACAUGUAGAAAGAGGAAUGUGGGUUUUUAUUACUCCUAAUCUUUAUCUGGACCCUAAAGGAACAUAUGGGUCAUUGGGAGUUCAUGUGGCUGUCUGCGAGUGUCUCCUAGCAACCAAGCAAUUGCAAAAUCAAAAUCAAGGAGAUAUUGAA